rnacentral:rRNA from 1 species
ACUCCUACGGGAGGCAGCAGUAAGGAAUAUUGGUCAAUGGACGCAAGUCUGAACCAGCCAUGCCGCGUGAAGGAUGAAGGUCCUCUGGAUUGUAAACUUCUUUUAUAGGGGGCGAAAAAGGUUUUCUUAAAUCACUUGACAGUACCUAUGAAUAAGCACCGGCUAACUCCGUGCCAGCAGCCGCGGUAAUACGGAGGGGUGCAAGCGUUAUCCGGAUUCACUGGGUUUAAAGGGUGCGUAGGCGGGUAGGUAAGUCAGAGGUGAAAUCCUGGAGCUUAACUCCAGAACUGCCUUUGAUACUAUCUAUCUUGAAUAUGGUGGAGGUAAGCGGAAUAUGUCGAUGUAGCGGUGAAAUGCAUAGAUAUGACAUAGAACACCUAUUGCGAAGGCAGCUUACUACGCCUAUAUUGACGCUGAGGCACGAAAGCGUGGGGA